rnacentral:tRNA from 1 species
GUGCCCAUAGCUCAGCUGGAUAGAGCACCUGCCUUCUAAGCAGGCGGUCCCAGGUUCGAGUCCUGGUGGGCACGCCA